rnacentral:lncRNA from 1 species
UCGGAUCCUCCUUAAACACUUACUUCUUCACCUUGCUCCUAGGCUCAUAUUCUCACCCCUUGUUGGAGUUCAAACAACAGCAUUCUUUGGUUCAAAUCAUAAUUUGAUCACACUUCCUUUCAUCUCCCGCCUUUUUUUUGAACUACGGAGCUCAGAAUUCCUCAUUGCACUAUGAGGAUAUGUAUGCAUGAGGGCCCUAAUCCUCACCGAGCACUUUAUCUAUUUCCUUUCCUUUUCUUAUUCUUUUGCGAGUAAUCUUUAGAUAUCACACAUAUUCGAGCGAGAACAAUCAAAACGGUUCCCAUGGAGUACAAUGGAUGUUUGGGGUGCUAAUACCUUCCCCUUGCAUAAUCGACUUCCUUACCUAACAUAACUCUUUCCCCGGGUUUU